rnacentral:rRNA from 1 species
GACGAACGCUGGCGGCGUGCCUAAUACAUGCAAGUCGAACGCACGAAGUUGAAGAGCUUGCUCUUUAACCAAGUGAGUGGCGGACGGGUGAGUAACACGUGGGUAACCUGCCCAUUAGAGGGGGAUAACAUUCGGAAACGGAUGCUAAUACCGCAUAGUUUCAGGGAUCGCAUGAUUCUUGAAGGAAAGGUGGCUCCGGCUACCACUAAUGGAUGGACCCGCGGCGUAUUAGCUAGUUGGUGAGGUAAUGGCUCGCCAAGGCAAUGAUACGUAGCCGACCUGAGAGGGUGAUCGGCCACACUGGGACUGAGACACGGCCCAGACUCCUACGGGAGGCAGCAGUAGGGAAUCUUCCGCAAUGGACGAAAGUCUGACGGAGCAACGCCGCGUGAGUGAAGAAGGUUUUCGGAUCGUAAAGCUCUGUUGUUAAAGAAGAACAAGGAUGAGAGUAACUGCUCAUCCCCUGACGGUAUUUAACCAGAAAGCCACGGCUAACUACGUGCCAGCAGCCGCGGUAAUACGUAGGUGGCAAGCGUUGUCCGGAUUUAUUGGGCGUAAAGCGAGCGCAGGCGGUUCUUUAAGUCUGAUGUGAAAGCCCCCGGCUCAACCGGGGAGGGUCAUUGGAAACUGGAGAACUUGAGUGCAGAAGAGGAGAGUGGAAUUCCACGUGUAGCGGUGAAAUGCGUAGAUAUGUGGAGGAACACCAGUGGCGAAGGCGACUCUCUGGUCUGUAACUGACGCUGAGGCUCGAAAGCGUGGGGAGCAAACAGG